GAUGGUUCGAUGGUGUGGUCCUAGAGGUAUAUUUCUGCGGAGGUCGAUGUUCACGUUGUGGGUGAUUGCGACGACCAACAUCAUCUUUAGUCGCAGGUGAGGGUCUCUGAUACAUGGAAGAAAAAUCAUAUAGCUCGAAUGGCAUCGAUGAACUUAAGCCGGGAGGAGUGUCAUGCUGUAGUGGAUACGGGCCAAGAGUAGUGGAGUACUGCAGUCGGUACAGGCCGGGAGAAGCGUUGUGCUACGGUGG
rnacentral:lncRNA from 1 species